rnacentral:rRNA from 1 species
GGAAAGGAAGUAAUAAUACGCAUAAGAUUGUAGUAUCGCAUGAUAUAGCAAUUAAAGGAGCAAUCCGCUAUAAGAUGGACCCGCGUCGCAUUAGCUAGUUGGUGAGGUAAUGGCUCACCAAGGCGACGAUGCGUAGCCGACCUGAGAGGGUGAUCGGCCACAUUGGGACUGAGACACGGCCCAGACUCCUACGGGAGGCAGCAUG